GCUUUGAAUUGUAGAUAAUCUCUU
rnacentral:piRNA from 1 species